rnacentral:tRNA from 1 species
ACUGGGGUGGCAGAGCAUGGUAAAUUGCAUAAGGCCUAAGCCCUUAAUACCAGAGGUUCAAAUCCUCUCCCCAGUU